CAAUAGCGUAUAUUUAAGUUGCUGCAGUUAAAAAGCUCGUAGUUGGAUUUCGGGUGGGAAUGGCCGGUCCGCCGUUUCGGUGUGCACUUGCUACGCCCACCUUGCUGCCGGGGACGUGCUCUUGAGUUCACGCUCGGGACACGGAGUCGGCGAGGUUACUUUGAGUAAAUUAGAGUGUUCAAAGCAGGCCUACGCUCUGAAUACAUUAGCAUGGAAUAACACGAUAGGACUCUGGCCUAUCUUGAUGGUCUGUAGGACCGGAGUAAUGAUUAAGAGGGACAGUCGGGGGCAUUCGUAUUUCAUUGUCAGAGGUGAAAUUCUUGGAUUUAUGAAAGACGAACUACUGCGAAAGCAUUUGCCAAGGAUGUUUUCAUUAA
rnacentral:rRNA from 1 species